rnacentral:rRNA from 1 species
AACGAACGCUGGCGGCGUGGAUAAGACAUGCAAGUCGAACGGGAUUAUUUUUGUAGCAAUACAGAAAUAAUUCAGUGGCGAACGGGUGCGUAACACGUGGGCAAUCUGCCGAAAAGUGGGGGAUAGCUCGCCGAAAGGCGAAUUAAUACCGCAUGUGGUGAGGGACGACAUCUUCCUGAAUCCAAAGCCGGGGCAACCUGGCGCUUUUUGAGGAGCCCGCGGCCUAUCAGCUAGUUGGUGAGGUAACGGCCCACCAAGGCUAUGACGGGUAGCUGGUCUGAGAGGACGACCAGUCACACUGGAACUGAGACACGGUCCAGACACCUACGGGUGGCAGCAGUCGAGUAAUUUUUCUCAAGUGGGGGAAACCCUGAAGGAGCGACGCCGCGUGGAGGAUGAA